UACGUAGGGGGCAAGCGUUGUCCGGAUUUAUUGGGCGUAAAGAGCGUGUAGGCGGUUAGGUAGGUCCGUUGUGAAAACUCGAGGCUCAACCUCGAGACGCCGAUGGAAACCAUCUGACUAGAGUCCGGAAGAGGAGAGUGGAAUUCCUGGUGUAGCGGUGAAAUGCGCAGAUAUCAGGAAGAACACCCGUGGCUAAGGCGGCUCUCUAGUACGUGACUGACGCUGAGACGCGGAAGCGUGGGGAGCGAACAGG
rnacentral:rRNA from 1 species